CUGUCGUAGUGCUGUAUUAAAAUAUCAGAUAUUUUGACCAAGUGAAUCACCCUUGCGCGUCGGGCCGGGAAUACAAAGAUAGGCUGUUGAAGCGUUAGAUCUCCAAUGCAAUGAUUUCUAUUCUUAACAUCAUAUCAUGCGGCGACCCACUUCCUUCAAAUUUCUUUAGUUGCUUAUUUUUGUCAUUUUGAUUUGAGACAGGG
rnacentral:misc_RNA from 1 species